rnacentral:rRNA from 1 species
UACGAAGGGGGCUAGCGUUGCUCGGAAUCACUGGGCGUAAAGCGCACGUAGGCGGAUUGCUAAGUCAGGGGUGAAAUCCUGGAGCUCAACUCCAGAACUGCCUUUGAUACUGGCGAUCUUGAGUCCGGGAGAGGAGAGUGGAAUUCCUGGUGUAGCGGUGAAAUGCGCAGAUAUCAGGAAGAACACCCGUGGCGAAGGCGGCUCUCUGGAACGCAACUGACGCUGAGACGCGAAAGCGUGGGGAGCAAACAGG